UAUAGCAGCAACACCGUUUAUUUAAAGGGACGUUAUGGAUGGCUGCUAUCUACAGGGAACCUGGACUGCAACCUGGAGUGGAGGGUGGGCCCGGGUCCCCCCCCCAACCAGCUACUUGGAAAGUAGCCUGGACUUUGAGGCACCCCAGAAGGGGAACUGAACUGUAAUGGCCCAGGUGAAGAGCUGGGGCCAGAAAGGCCCUGAGAGGGCGAAGCCAUUGCCUCCAGUGAAGGAGCCUUGGGGCACUGUAUUCUGGAGCAGGAACAAACAGAGAGACAUUAUAGAGGGCACUGAGAGAAGCCCUGUUAGACUUGUACCCUGAAAAGGUUUGCUUUGCUUUUAUCUCACAGAGAGACUGUGUAUGACUUGGCCGGUGGGCUGAGUCAGCAAAGACCCACCACAAACAGAGGGAGAGAGUGGAAGCACUCAGGCAGAGGGUGCUCACGAGAGCUCAAGCUGUUUGGAUACAAUCUGCUUCUUCACAGACUGUGCCAGCCGCAAUAACUGAUCCGCAGUUAGCUCUGAAAAAGAAGAAAUCAUGUGAGGAAAAGGGUUUUUUUCUGGGCGGUAAGAGGCAUUUUGGCAAACUUUCUGCAAACUCCUGUUUGGCGUUGCUUGUCCUACGUCAGGCCCAGAAGCUGUCCUGUGGACUUGGACAACGUGCCUCCUCCAGAGUACGACAGUGCCACUUCACGGUGUCAUCUCCAGCAGCGACAGGCCCCAGCAGCAUGCCCUGCUCGGUAUGGAGCCUUGUGAGAGAAGCAAAUGGGCGGACGUGGCGUGGUGGAUUGCAUGUUUUACACCCCAUCAGUUGUAUAUACAAAAUUAUGUGGACACUUUAUACUUUUGGGGCGACAUCAUAUAAGAAAGGAACCUAGACAGAUUAACUCAUCCCCUCUGCAGACUGACUCUUUAAAUGGGCAAAAACUGGACCUCCAAUGUGAAAAUACCCCCAGGCUCAGAUGGCAGAGGCAGUGUGAGGGGUGUUUGCUUAUAAAAAAAACAUUGCUCCAGCUGGGCAGGAAGGUGAAAAGCCAGCUCGAGAACCAGCGUGCACACUUAUGAUACUCCUUUCGACAGUCUCAUGAUCAGGCUCUUAAGAGUUUGAACUCUUUGGGCAGCAUUGGUUUAUUUGUUCUGUGUUUGUACAGCACCCAGUUAGUGUCUCUGCUGUUGCUCCCUGCCCAGUUACUGCUGCUUCCCCACCAGUCCCACACAGACCUGCUUCCAGCUGUAAUGUCCAGCCGUCACAGCCUGUUUCACAUGCAGCUCUGCAUCUGUUCCUGCCUCCAGCACAGCUCAUGACAGAGCUUGGCCACUUCCUCCUUCACCACCCUUCCCCUUAUCUGGCCUGCGGCUCAGGGAAAAGGGACAUGCAGUGGGGGUUGGCGGGCGGUGUAGUCCCCUGCAUAGACCCAGCUAUGUCACUGUGAUGUUCUGUACCUUGGGGGAACACCCUACACCCCCAUGUUCAUCCUUAUGAUUGUGUGAUAUCCAAUGCAAAGUUUGUCAUGUCGGGUGUCUUCAGAAGGCUCAUGAUUCACUGAGCAUUGUUGUUAUAGUAAUGUUAUAGGUUGUAAUUUCAUGUAUAUAGUUAUGAGGCUGAAAAUGUGUUCUCAUGGCUUAAAACACGCCCAGGUGAAACUCUCCAGGAGUAGAGGGGCAGUUCACAUCUCAUCAGGGCACGUAUGGGACAAACCCAGCCCCGCCUCACAGGAACAAAGAACACUGGCCUAGGCAGCAACAAAGGAUCUGUUGGACUCUCAAGUGAGUCACCCCCCCUUCCCUUGGUCAGUUUGAGACUACAAUGAAGUAAUACUCACCUGACUCUGAAGAGGGGGGGCAAAGCGAAGAGGGAAGAAAGGGAGAGAUGUUUGCCAUGCUACAGACACCACCACCAAGUGACUGAAGCGCUGAUCAAAGGGGAGAGCCUGGCUGAAGGGCAACCAGCCAGCCUGUGUUGAGAAGCAUCUAAAUUUGUAAGGGCAUUGAAAGUGUUAAGAUCAGCUUAGAUUGCGUUUUGCUUUUAUUUCAUUUGACCAAAUCUGACUUGUGCUUUGGUUUAUAAUCACUUACAAUCUAUCUUUUGUAGUUAAUAAAUUCGUUUGUUUAUUCUA